GUACUCCCUGCUGCAAAGAGUUUAUGUCCUAAUAAAUUAUGAAUAUUUUUAUAUUUAUGUGUGUUAGUAACAGUCUGCCUUUGAGGUUUUUUCCUUCAGAUUUUAACUGGUGCCUAAGCUGUACAGUUGGAAAUGUUUUUUAGAAUUUUUUUUUGUAAAAUGUUUUUAACUUCCUUCUUAUUAUCAUUUCUUUUUUAUUCUUGUUUAUUUUCAUCUUUCUCUUUUUAAUCCUCUCUUUGAAUUUGAGAUGAUAACUAGAAUUAUGUUAAUCAGUAUCUUUGAACUUUGCCAAAAGUCGAUGGCAAAGUAUUUUCAAAAUCAUUUGAAUAUUUGUAAUAUUUUCAUAUUUUUUAAAAUCAGAAAUCCUGUUCAGUAUAUGUGAUGAGUUUUUGAACAUUCAAUAAGUUGGCUUUCACAAGAUAAAAAUCUCUUGCUGAACAGCUGCUGGAACCCAAUGUGAAUAUUGGACUGGUGGAGCCUUGGGAAGUGAACCUUCCAUAGGAAGCAUGAUCCAGCUUCAGCAGUCCUUCAGAGGCCCUGAGUUUGCCCAUAGUUCUAUAGAUGUGGAAGGACCCUUUGCAAAUGUUAAUAGAGAUGACUGGGAUAUUGCUGUAGCUAGUUUAUUACAAGUUACUCCUCUUUUUUCACAUUCUCUGUGGAGUAACACUGUCAGAUGUUACCUCAUUUAUACAGAUGAAACCCAGCCUGAGAUGGAUCUUUUCCUUAAGGACUAUUCACCUAAACUUAAGAGAAUGUGCGAGACAAUGGGAUAUUUUUUCCAUGCUGUUUAUUUUCCAAUAGAUGUUGAAAAUCAAUACCUCACUGUAAGAAAAUGGGAAAUUGAGAAAAGUUCUUUAGUUAUUUUAUUUAUUCACUUAACAUUACCAAGCCUUUUAUUGGAAGACUGUGAAGAAGCUUUUCUGAAAAACCCUGAAGGAAAACCUCGAUUAAUCUUUCAUCGUUUGGAAGAUGGAAAAGUCAUUUCUGACUCUGUCCAGCAAUUGAUUGAUCAAGUUUCUAAUCUAAACAAGACCAGCAAAGCCAAGAUCAUUGAUCACUCAGGAGAUCCUGCAGAAGGAGUAUAUAAAACUUAUAUUUGUGUAGAAAAGAUUAUUAAACAGGACAUACUGGGUUUUGAGAACACAGACUUGGAGACUAAGGAUUUGGGCAGUGAGGAUUCCAUUCCAGAAGAAGAUGAUUUUGGUGAUGUUCUGUGGGACAUACAUGAUGAACAAGAGCAAAUGGAAACUUUUCAGCAGGCUUCUAAUUCAGCCCAUGAGUUGGGAUUUGAGAAAUAUUACCAACGCCUUAAUGAUCUAGUGGCAGCACCAGCCCCGAUUCCACCUCUUCUCGUGUCUGGAGGACCAGGUUCUGGGAAGUCUCUUCUUUUAUCAAAAUGGAUUCAAUUGCAACAGAAGAAUUCCCCCAACACACUGAUUCUUUCCCAUUUUGUGGGAAGGCCCAUGUCAACCAGCUCAGAGUCCUCCUUGAUUAUUAAACGACUAACUCUAAAGUUGAUGCAGCACUCUUGGUCAGUCUCUGCUCUGACACUGGAUCCUGCUAAGCUUCUGGAAGAAUUUCCACGUUGGCUGGAAAAACUCUCUGCUCGUCAUCAAGGCAGCAUCAUCAUCGUUAUUGAUUCUAUAGAUCAAGUUCAGGUUGUGGCCUACACUUCAUCUUGAUCCCUUAAGUCCAAAAGAUGCAAAAUCUAUUAUAAUUGCAGAAUGCCACUCUGUAGACAUUAAAUUGAGUAAAGAGCAGGAGAAGAAGCUAGAACGACACUGUCGUUCUGCUACAACCUGCAAUGCCCUUUAUGUCACCCUUUUCGGCAAAAUGAUCGCGCGUGCUGGGAGAGCAGGCAAUUUAGAUAAAAUCCUUCAUCAGUGUUUCCAGUGUCAAGAUACUGUUUCAUUAUAUAGACUUGUUCUGCACUCUAUCCAGGAGUCCAUGGCAAAUGAUGUGGAUAAAGAGCUAAUGAAGCAGAGUCUCGCCUUGUCGCCCAGGCUGGAGUGCGGUGGCGCGAUCUCCGCUCACUGCAAGCUCCGCCUCCCGGGUUCAAGCAAUUCUCCUGCCUCAGCCUCCCGAGUAGCUGGGACUACAGGCACCCACCACCACGCCCAGCUAAUUUUUUGUAUUUUUAGUAGAGAUGGGGUUUCACCGUGAUAGCCAGGAUGGUCUCGAUCUCCUGGCCUCGUGAUCUGCCCACUUUGGCCUCCCAAAGUGCUGGAAUUACAGGCGUGAGCCACUGCGCCCUGCCGAACCUGGAUCUAUUUUUAUGUUAACUUUUCAGCUUGGUGGUUCCCAGGGUUUGGACUUCUCAGCCCACUCCAAGCCCACAAGCUUCCUUGUAUUCUCUCCACGUCUGUGGGCUAAUGUUUUUCUCAUGCACCCCUUCACUGAGGGUGAAGGUCCUUCAAAGCCCUUCAAAGAUCCUGGUGUUGACAAGAAAUCUAAUUCUACCUCCUUGCCUCACACAGCUUAAGGGCUCACCUUCCAUCCCACUGUGGCUGUGAAAACCUGAGCUCUUAUGUUCCUGGGGGAUGCUGCCUGUCCUCUAGCCCCACUGCCCCCAUAGCCAGCAGUUCCAGCCCUUUACACUCUGACUUCAAUUUCCUAUUCAUUUUUGGCAGUUGGAGGAUUUCCCUUUAUUUAUCUAAAAGCUGUGCUUUUAGAAAUGUGUCUGAUAUUCAUACGUGUUUAUAAUAGGAGGGCUAUUUUCUUCCACUGUCUUCCUGGAAUUGAAAUUCUGCCAUUAAUUAUAAUAAUACAUUUUAUGCAGUUUUAAUUUUCACUGUACUUUUUUCUGUAAGAGUGUUAUCUUUGGUGUGCUAGAUUUUAUAUAUACACUAUCUUAAUCUUCAUUAAUGUCUUUUGGACAGUGUGUUUUAAUAAAUCUGUUUCUUGAUUUAUUAAAUCAUUUGAAUUAUAAGUUUUGGUAAAAAGAAAUAGCCUUAAAAGAAUUAUGGAAAUUUUAAUGGCCGUUAGUUACUUAUACAGGUGCUUUAUGAUUACUGUUAAUUUGUUUUUCUACCUAGAUUCUCUGCCUUGUCAAUGUUAGUCACAAUGGUGUGAGUGAAUCAGAACUGAUGGAACUCUAUCCUGAGAUGUCCUGGACUUUCUUGACCUCCCUUAUUCACAGUUUAUACAAAAUGUGUUUGUUGACUUAUGGAUGUGGCUUGCUUAGGUUUCAACAUCUGCAGGCUUGGGAAACAGUGAGACUGGAGUACCUGGAAGGCCCCACUGUUACUUCUUCAUACAGGCAAAAGCUAAUCAACUAUUUCACCUUGCAGCUAAGUCAGGACAGAGUGACUUGGAGAAGUGCAGAUGAACUCCCGUGGCUUUUUCAGCAGCAGGGAAGUAAACAGAAGCUGCAUGAUUGCCUUCUUAAUCUCUUUGUGUCUCAAAACCUUUAUAAAAGGGGACACUUUGCUGAGUUGCUGAGUUAUUGGCAGUUUGUUGGCAAAGACAAAAGUGCAAUGGCAACAGAAUACUUCGAUUCAUUGAAGCAGUAUGAGAAAAACUGCGAAGGCGAGGACAACAUGAGUUGCUUAGCUGAUCUUUAUGAAACCUUGGGGCGAUUUCUCAAGGAUCUAGGCCUUCUCAGUCAGGCCAUAGUACCUUUGCAGAGGUCUUUAGAGAUUCGAGAAACAGCUUUAGAUCCCGAUCACCCAAGAGUAGCCCAGUCCCUCCACCAACUAGCAAGUGUAUACGUGCAGUGGAAGAAGUUUGGCAAUGCAGAACAACUGUAUAAACAGGCAUUGGAAAUCUCAGAAAAUGCUUAUGGUGCGGACCAUCCAUAUACUGCUCGUGAACUUGAGGCACUUGCAACUUUGUACCAGAAACAAAAUAAAUAUGAACAAGCUGAACAUUUUAGGAAAAAAUCCUUUAAAAUUCAUCAGAAAGCUAUAAAGAAAAAAGGCAACUUGUACGGAUUUGCCCUUUUACGUAGACGGGCUCUACAGUUAGAAGAGCUUACAUUAGGUAAGGACACACCUGAUAAUGCUCGGACCCUCAACGAACUGGGUGUUCUCUACUACCUUCAAAAUAACCUGGAAACAGCUGACCAGUUUCUGAAGCGUUCCUUAGAAAUGAGGGAGCGAGUUCUAGGACCAGAUCACCCUGACUGUGCUCAGUCUUUGAAUAAUCUGGCAGCUCUAUGCAAUGAAAAGAAACAGUAUGAUAAAGCAGAAGAACUUUAUGAAAGAGCUUUAGAUAUUCGGAGACGUGCAUUAGCUCCUGAUCACCCUUCUUUGGCAUAUACGGUGAAGCAUCUUGCCAUCUUGUAUAAGAAAAUGGGGAAACUUGACAAAGCUGUACCUUUGUAUGAAUUGGCUGUUGAAAUUCGACAGAAAUCUUUUGGCCCAAAGCACCCUAGUGUAGCUACUGCCUUGGUGAACUUAGCUGUUCUUUAUAGCCAAAUGAAAAAACACGUUGAAGCUUUGCCAUUGUAUGAAAGAGCAUUAAAGAUUUAUGAAGAUAGCCUGGGUCGGAUGCAUCCUCGAGUUGGAGAAACACUGAAAAAUUUAGCUGUGCUUAGCUAUGAAGGAGGAGAUUUUGAAAAAGCUGCUGAAUUAUACAAAAGGGCAAUGGAAAUAAAAGAAGCAGAAACAUCACUCUUGGGUGGAAAAGCUCCUUCAAGCCAUUCAUCAAGUGGAGACACGUUUAGCUUAAAAACAGCUCAUUCUCCUAAUGUUUUCCUUCAGCAAGGACAAAGGUAAUAGCAGCAGUUAGAAUUCUUUGCAAAUGUACCUUAAGACAAAAUAAUUAAACAUUUGGAACAUUUAAAUUUGAAACUUUAAAAAAAAGUUGUACGAAAUUUUACUAUGUGUGAUUUAACUGCUAUUUGUAUGAAGUUGUAUUGGACUACAUUAAGUUGGAAUUGUGAUUAUGUCUGUUUUAGUUGUUUAAAAGAAUUUUCCUAUUAUAUGGUAUCCAAGGAUGUAGACACAUUAGAAUUAUAAGAUGACAUGAGGAGCAAAUCAUGAAGAGCGGAUUGGUCUUUGUUCAACAAGAGCUGGCAGAGUAGUCAAGACAAGGAGUUCAAAAAUUCCAUGAAUCUUGGCCAGGCAUGGUGGCUCAUGCCUGUAAUCCCACCACUUUGGGAGGGUGAUGCAGGAGGAUCACUUGAGGCCAGGAGUUCGAGACCAGCCUGGCCAACAUGGUGAAACCCUGUCUCUACUAAAAAUACAAAAAAAAA
rnacentral:sRNA from 1 species